ACAGCAGUAGCCGCGGGAAUACGAAGGGGGCUAGCGUUGUUCGGAAUUACUGGGCGUAAAGCGCACGUAGGCGGAUAUUUAAGUCAGGGGUGAAAUCCCAGAGCUCAACUCUGGAACUGCCUUUGAUACUGGGUAUCUUGAGUAUGGAAGAGGUGAGUGGAAUUCCGAGUGUAGAGGUGAAAUUCGUAGAUAUUCGGAGGAACACCAGUGGCGAAGGCGGCUCACUGGUCCAUUACUGACGCUGAGGUGCGAAAGCGUGGGGAGCAAACAGGAUUAGAUACCCCGGUAGUCCCUGUCUCUUAUAC
rnacentral:rRNA from 1 species